GUUUUGUUCUGAGAUGCCUUAGGUGGUGUGGAUACAGGUGAAAUGGGACACCCUGUAAAGCCAAGCUAUCCCUGAUAAGUGGUGUCAUGUGGCAGGACCUAAUGACCUGUCAUUUGUACGUCUAUUUGGUCCACAUCACCCGCUGUAAUGCCUGUGAGUUUGCAGGUGAUUUAAUUCCUGUAUGUGCUGGAUUGCUAUAUUCUAUGGCACCUG